AGAGUUUGAUCAUGGCUCAGGGUGAACGCUGGCGGUAUGCCUAAGACAUGCAAGUCGCACGGACUGUUUUUGCAGUUAGUGGCGGACGGGUGAGUAACACGUAGGUGACCUACCCCAAAGUCUGGGACAACUAGGAGAAAUCUUAGCUAAUCCCGGAUGUGAACCUCGGUUUUGACCGAUGUUUAAAGCUUCGGCGCUUUGGGAUGGGCCUGCGGCGCAUCAGGUAGUUGGUGGGGUAAUGGCCUACCAAGCCGACGACGCGUAGCUGGUCUGAGAGGACGAUCAGCCACAGGGGUACUGAGACACGGACCCCACUCCUACGGGAGGCAGCAGUUAGGAAUCUUCCGCAAUGGGCGAAAGCCUGACGGAGCGAUACCGCUUGAAGGACGAAGCCCUUCGGGGUGUAAACUUCUGAACUCGGGACGAUAAUGACGGUACCUGAGGAAUCAGCAUCGGCUAACUCCGUGCCAGCAGCCGCGGUAAUACGGAGGAUGCAAGCGUUACCCGGAUUUACUGGGUGUAAAGGGCGUGUAGGCGGUCUUUCAAGUCCGAUGCUAAAGACCGAAGCUCAACUUCGGGGGUGCGUUGGAUACUGUGAGGCUAGACGGUCGGAGAGGGUAGCGGAAUUUCCGGAGUAGCGGUGAAAUGCGCAGAUACCGGAAGGAACGCCGAUAGCGAAAGCAGCUACCUGGACGAUUUGUGACGCUGAGGCGCGAAAGCGUGGGGAGCAAACCGGAUUAGAUACCCGGGUAGUCCACGCCCUAAACGAUGAGUGCUGGGUGUCCGACAUCUGUUGGGUGCCGUAGCUAACGCGUUAAGCACUCCACCUGGGAAGUACGGUCGCAAGACUGAAACUCAAAGGAAUUGACGGGGGCUCACACAAGCGGUGGAGCAUGUGGCUUAAUUCGAGGCAACGCGAAGAACCUUAUCCUGGGCUUGACAUGUCCGCAAGGGUCUAGACGUAGGUGCCGGAAACGGUUCCCCACAGGUAUCCAAUCCUGAGCUAGACACAGGUGCUGCAUGGCUGUCGUCAGCUCGUGUCGUGAGAUGUCGGGUUAAGUCCCAUAACGAGCGCAACCCCUGUCUCCAGUUGCCAGCGCGUCCGGGCACUCUAGCGAGACUGCCUGCGAAAGCAGGAGGAAGGCGGGGAUGACGUCUGAUCCGCAUGGCCCUUACGACCUGGGCGACACACGUGCUACAAUGCCCGCCACAGAGCGCUGCGACCCGGCAACGGGAAGCCAAUCGCGGAAAAGCGGGCUCAGUUCGGAUUGGGGUCUGCAACUCGACCCCAUGAAGCCGGAAUCGCUAGUAAUCGCGGAUCAGCCAUGCCGCGGUGAAUACGUUCCCGGGCCUUGUACACACCGCCCGUCAAGCCAUGGGAGUGGGUCUUGCCUGAAGUCGCCGGGAGCCACAGGCAGGCGCCUAGGGUAAGGCUCAUGACUGGGGCUAAGUCGUAACAAGGUA
rnacentral:rRNA from 1 species